rnacentral:rRNA from 1 species
UGGGGGAUAUUGCACAAUGGGCGAAAGCCUGAUGCAGCGACGCCGCGUGGGGGAUGAAGGCUUUCGGGUUGUAAACCUCUUUCGCUUUCGAACAAGGCCCGCUUAGGGUGGGUUGAGGGUAGGUGGAGAAGAAGCGCCGGCUAACUACGUGCCAGCAGCCGCGGUAAUACGUAGGGCGCGAGCGUUGUCCGGAAUUAUUGGGCGUAAAGGGCUUGUAGGCGGCUUGUUGCGCCUGCUGUGAAAACGCGGGGCUUAACUUCGCGCGUGCAGUGGGUACGGGCAGGCUUGAGUGUGGUAGGGGUGACUGGAAUUCCAGGUGUAGCGGUGGAAUGCGUAGAGAUGUGGAGGAAUACCGGUGGCGAAGGCGGCCCCCUGGACAAAGACUGACGCUCAGGUGCGAAAGCGUGGGGAGCAAACAGG